UUUAAAUGAUUUGCUUAUAAUGCAUCAACUAACACAUGUGAUGAUAUCAAUGAAUGUGCUCAACAAAUAGACAGAUGUACAAGUGUAUGUAUCAACACAUUGGGCAACUACAGGUGUUCAUGCACACCUGGCUAUGUCCUCAACAGAGAUGGAUAUACAUGUGAUGUGACCAGUGUGUGCACCAACAGUUCACUUUGUCAGUAG
rnacentral:sRNA from 1 species